rnacentral:rRNA from 1 species
AGUGAACGCCGGCGGUAGGCCUAACACAUGCAAGUCGAACGGCAGCACAGUAAGAGCUUGCUCUUACGGGUGGCGAGUGGCGGACGGGUGAGGAAUACAUCGGAAUCUACUUUUUCGUGGGGGAUAACGUAGGGAAACUUACGCUAAUACCGCAUACGACCUACGGGUGAAAGCAGGGGAUCUUCGGACCUUGCGCGAUUGAAUGAGCCGAUGUCGGAUUAGCUAGUUGGCGGGGUAAAGGCCCACCAAGGCGACGACCCGUAGCUGGUCUGAGAGGAUGAUCAGCCACACUGGAACUGAGACACGGUCCAGACUCCUACGGGAGGCAGCAGUGGGGAAUAUUGGACAAUGGGCGCAAGCCUGAUCCAGCCAUACCGCGUGGGUGAAGAAGGCCUUCGGGUUGUAAAGCCCUUUUGUUGGGAAAGAAAAGCAGCAGGUUAAUACCCCGCUGUUCUGACGGUACCCAAAGAAUAAGCACCGGCUAACUUCGUG